rnacentral:rRNA from 1 species
ACGAACGCUGGCGGCGUGCUUAACGCAUGCAAGUCGAACGGAAAGGCCCUGCUUUUGUGGGGUGCUCGAGUGGCGAACGGGUGAGUAACACGUGGGUAACCUGCCCUUGACUUUGGGAUAACUUCAGGAAACUGGGGCUAAUACCGGAUAGGAGCUCCUGCUGCAUGGUGGGGGUUGGAAAGUUUCGGCGGUUGGGGAUGGACUCGCGGCUUAUCAGCUUGUUGGUGGGGUAGUGGCUUACCAAGGCUUUGACGGGUAGCCGGCCUGAGAGGGUGACCGGCCACAUUGGGACUGAGAUACGGCCCAGACUCCUACGGGAGGCAGCAGUGGGGAAUAUUGCACAAUGGGCGGAAGCCUGAUGCAGCAACGCCGCGUGCGGGAUGACGGCCUUCGGGUUGUAAACCGCUUUCGCCUGUGACGAAGCGUGAGUGACGGUAAUGGGUAAAGAAGCACCGGCUAACUACGUG